rnacentral:lncRNA from 1 species
GAAAAGAUAAAAAUGAUAAAAGCUAAUGAAAUCAAAACUCUAUUCACCCCAGACUGUGGUUACUGUGCAAGACGAGAUGCGUCACUGCUCCUGUUGGUAGAUGGGAAAUGCAAUCAGCCCUCUGGUCUCUGCUGGGUGUGGGCCAUGGGGAGAGGAUUCAAGUGGACUAUUGUUCUAGAGUCUUAUUGCUCCCUUCUCUCCCCAGGCAUUGCCCUCAUCCAGGGUCAGGGUGGUUGGUUAGUCAUUGUCUCCGCCACCGCUUCCAAGGGGAAGCAAAAUGUAAAGUUGGCUAUGGUCUCGCCUUUGUGUCGUGAGAGCCACACCUGUCCAGAGAUGCAGACAGACCCAGCAAUGUCUCAGAAGCAGGGGCAGAGGGGGCUUCUGCUGGCAGAGGUGCAGGCAGAGCCCAAGGCAGUUACUCUCUGAGCUGAAAGAUAAUGACUUCAAUGUGUAGAUAAAAGCCAAACAAGCAAAUUAAAACAAACAGAAAAUCCAGAAGGGAAGCUGGCCAGAAACAAAGACAACCUGUGCUCUGGCUCCUCAGGGAACCACCAGAUCAGCCAAAAGGCACAACCUAAACUUCCAGAAGGUGAGAUCCUUUCUGCCCACCUUGCUCCAGCCAGCUCCCAGGAACACAGAAAUGGUCCCCAUGACCCCAGAGGGCUAUGGACGGCAUAUGCAGCUCUGCCACCCCCUUCACCAGGCCCUCCUGUGGGUGACACAUGGGUCUAAUCAGAACCCAGUUUCUGAAGUAGUUGAUUCCUUUUGUUUCUUUUUCUUUUUCUUCCAAGACAGGGCUUUGCUUUGUAAUUCAAGCUGGCCCUGAACUCACUAUGUAGCCCAGGCAAUCCUCCUGCCUCAACCUCCCGAGUGCUGGGAUCACAGGUGUGCGCCACCACACCUGGCUUAAAGAUUUUUUUUUUUAAUUAUCAAAAGGCUGUUUCAAUAGAAGCACCAAUGCAUAAUCUCCCAUUUCCACUGAUGUCAUCCCCGUCGAUCCCUGUUCAGAAAGUUCACUGGUUUGGUGUAGGAGGAGCAGCGAAGAGGCUGUACCACUGGCUUUCCUCUUUAGGGCCCUCUAAGGGUGGGAGUUUGGCAUCAGACCUGCUGUAGGGAUAGGGUCUGCCUGCGUCCUCCACUCUGACCCAUGAUGGAACUUCCUCUGGUGGCGACAGCAGCUACAAGGAAUUGAAGGACCCACGUGUGUUGAGAGCCUUUCCUGCUUUAUCCCACGGCCCCCUCAGUAGCCCUGUGAGGAAGGUGAGGAGUGACAACCCUUUGCUGAGAAGAAAACCAAAAUGCGGAGAUGUGAGGGGACUUUCCCCAAGCCCCAGCACAGGACAGUAAGUGGCAGAGGAGGCCUCUGGCUCCUGCCGAGAACCUCACACAGGUGCAGGUAUAGCCUGGCCCUGGAGAGGUCCACAUCUAGUCAAGAAGACUAAACUCUUCUAACCUGGAAUCAGAAUGACUCAGGUGGAUCCUGGUUGAGUGCCUUCUGGCUGGUGCAUCCAGGGAAGACCCCUAACUCUCAUCUCAGUCUCCCUAUAGCACAUAGGCCCGGUGGAAUCUGUGUCAGGGUCUGGCACUGCACACUGCCUGUGGUGUAGGGCCCAAGCAUUCUUUGCUGACUCUUAUCCCAGCUCCCCCUUGCCCACUGUCCCUGGCAUCCGGGUCCUAAACCACUGCCUGACACCCUCCCU